rnacentral:rRNA from 1 species
AUGAACGCUAGCUACAGGCUUAACACAUGCAAGUCGAGGGGCAGCAUUUUAGUUUGCUUGCAAACUAAAGAUGGCGACCGGCGCACGGGUGAGUAACACGUAUCCAACCUACCGAUAACUCUGGAAUAGCCUUUCGAAAGAAAGAUUAAUACCGGAUAGUAUACGAAUAUCGCAUGAUAUUUUUAUUAAAGAAUUUCGGUUAUCGAUGGGGAUGCGUUCCAUUAGUUUGUUGGCGGGGUAACGGCCCACCAAGACUACGAUGGAUAGGGGUUCUGAGAGGAAGGUCCCCCACAUUGGAACUGAGACACGGUCCAAACUCCUACGGGAGGCAGCAGUGAGGAAUAUUGGUCAAUGGGCGCAGGCCUGAACCAGCCAAGUAGCGUGAAGGAUGAAGGCUCUAUGGGUCGUAAACUUCUUUUAUAUGGGAAUAAAGUUUUCCACGUGUGGAAUUUUGUAUGUACCAUAUGAAUAAGGAUCGGCUAACUCCGUGCCAGCAGCCGCGGUAAUACGGAGGAUCCGAGCGUUAUCCGGAUUUAUUGGGUUUAAAGGGAGCGUAGGUGGAUUGUUAAGUCAGUUGUGAAAGUUUGCGGCUCAACCGUAAAAUUGCAGUUGAAACUGGUAGUCUUGAGUACAGUAGAGGUGGGCGGAAUUCGUGGUGUAGCGGUGAAAUGCUUAGAUAUCACGAAGAACUCCGAUUGCGAAGGCAGCUCACUAGACUGUUACUGACACUGAUGCUCGAAAGUGUGGGUAUCAAACAGGAUUAGAUACCCUGGUAGUCCACACAGUAAACGAUGAAUACUCGCUGUUUGCGAUAUACAGUAAGCGGCCAAGCGAAAGCAUUAAGUAUUCCACCUGGGGAGUACGCCGGCAACGGUGAAACUCAAAGGAAUUGACGGGGGCCCGCACAAGCGGUGGAGCAUGUGGUUUAAUUCGAUGCAACGCGAAGAACCUUACCUGGUCUUGACAUCCACAGAACUUUCCAGAGAUGGAUUGGUGCCUUCGGGAACUGUGAGACAGGUGCUGCAUGGCUGUCGUCAGCUCGUGUUGUGAAAUGUUGGGUUAAGUCCCGCAACGAGCGCAACCCUUAUCUUUAGUUACUAACAGGUCAUGCUGAGGACUCUAGAGAGACUGCCGUCGUAAGAUGUGAGGAAGGUGGGGAUGACGUCAAAUCAGCACGGCCCUUACGUCCGGGGCUACACACGUGUUACAAUGGGGGGUACAGAAGGCAGCUACACGGCGACGUGAUGCUAAUCCCAAAAACCUCUCUCAGUUCGGAUCGAAGUCUGCAACCCGACUUCGUGAAGCUGGAUUCGCUAGUAAUCGCGCAUCAGCCAUGGCGCGGUGAAUACGUUCCCGGGCCUUGUACACACCGCCCGUCAAGCCAUGAAAGCCGGGGGUACCUGAAGUACGUAACCGCAAGGAGCGUCCUAGGGUAAAACUGGUAAUUGGGGCU